CAGGGGGGCGUGCUAUACAUGCAAGUCGAGCGGACAGAAGGGAGCUUGCUCCCGGAUGUUAGCGGCGGACGGGUGAGUAACACGUGGGUAACCUGCCUGUAAGACUGGGAUAACUCCGGGAAACCGGAGCUAAUACCGGAUAGUUCCUUGAACCGCAUGGUUCAAGGAUGAAAGACGGUUUCGGCUGUCACUUACAGAUGGACCCGCGGCGCAUUAGCUAGUUGGUGAGGUAACGGCUCACCAAGGCGACGAUGCGUAGCCGACCUGAGAGGGUGAUCGGCCACACUGGGACUGAGACACGGCCCAGACUCCUACGGGAGGCAGCAGUAGGGAAUCUUCCGCAAUGGACGAAAGUCUGACGGAGCAACGCCGCGUGAGUGAUGAAGGUUUUCGGAUCGUAAAGCUCUGUUGUUAGGGAAGAACAAGUGCAAGAGUAACUGCUUGCACCUUGACGGUACCUAACCAGAAAGCCACGGCUAACUACGUGCCAGCAGCCGCGGUAAUACGUAGGUGGCAAGCGUUGUCCGGAAUUAUUGGGCGUAAAGGGCUCGCAGGCGGUUUCUUAAGUCUGAUGUGAAAGCCCCCGGCUCAACCGGGGAGGGUCAUUGGAAACUGGGAAACUUGAGUGCAGAAGAGGAGAGUGGAAUUCCACGUGUAGCGGUGAAAUGCGUAGAGAUGUGGAGGAACACCAGUGGCGAAGGCGACUCUCUGGUCUGUAACUGACGCUGAGGAGCGAAAGCGUGGGGAGCGAACAGGAUUAGAUACCCUGGUAGUCCACGCCGUAAACGAUGAGUGCU
rnacentral:rRNA from 1 species